GUAGUUAGCCGGGGCUUCCUCCUUGGCUACCGUCACUUUCUUCGUCACCAAGGACAGAGGUUUACAACCCGAAAGCCUUCUUCCCUCACGCGGCGUUGCUGGGUCAGGCUUGCGCCCAUUGCCCAAUAUUCCCCACUGCUGCCUCCCGUAGGAGUCUGGACCGUGUCUCAGUUCCAGUGUGGCCGAUCAGCCUCUCAGCUCGGCUACCCAUCGUUGGCUAGGUGGGCCGUUACCCCGCCUACUACCUAAUGGGACGCGAACCCCUCCUUUAGCGGAUUUCUCCUUUGACCUCUGUGUCAUGCGGCACUGUGGUCUUAUGCGGUAUUAGCACCUGUUUCCAAGUGUUAUCCCCCUCUAAAGGGCAGGUUGUUCACGCGUUACUCACCCGUCCGCCGCUAAUCCACUUCCGAAGAAGCUUCAUCGCUCGACUUGCAUGUGUUAAGCACGCCGCCAGCGUUCGUCCUAAGCCAGGAUCAAACUCUGA
rnacentral:rRNA from 1 species